rnacentral:sRNA from 1 species
UCGUUCUGAUUUUCAGAACGUUUCCUCCCUAUUAAAACUUUCGGGCUGUGCGUUUGCAUAGCCCUUUUUUUAUUGCGUA